GUGACCGUGGCGGUGUAGGUGGAAGCAACAGUGGAGGAGGAGGUAGCCCACACUGUUUUAUAUAUAUAUAUUUUUUUAAUUGGGGUAGCCCCCAAAAUAUUGGGACAUAUAAAAAAAGACAACUCUAUUCCGCAGAGUAGCUGUUGACAUUAUAGUUGCGUGGGAACUUUGUUGAUUCUAGAGAACCUCGGGCCAAUCGCACAUCCCCGUCAUCCAUAUCAACUUUCGAUGCCAGUUUCUGAGCCUACCAUGGUGACCACGGGUAACAGGGAAUCAGGGUUCCAUUCCGUACAGGGACCCUGAGAAAUGGCUACCACAUGCAAGGAAGGCAGCAGGCGUGCAAAUGACCCACUCCCGACGCGGGAAGGUAGUGAC